AGUUCCUUUUACAGCUGUGUGGACGGCCACGUCGAUAGCGUUUUGUGGAGACGAUUGGAGCCGUGUGGCAGGGGCUGUUGAGGGGUAGUGAAGCAGAUUUGAAUCUCUAAGGUGUUAAGGCUUGCAUGUGAUGGGCUUAAGGUUUGGCCAUUUUUUUUUUUUCCUUUAUGGCAGGCUGUAGUUGGACUCCAGAUGGUAUUCCUAGAUGGAAUCGAGACUUCUGGAAUUGUUAAGCUCUUGCUCUGUAUCCAGGUGACUUGUUCAAUAUGUUUUUUUUGAGACGUGGAGGGACAAGAUGCAUGCCACAGAGCGACGGAGGAGGGGAGCGGAGCGCUGCGAGAAGGUGAUCACGGGGCACGAGGCGGUUGAAGGAACCUUGCGUUUAGGUGACGUGGCUGCUAUGGGCGUUGGACCGUGACAUGUGCGGAAGUCGGCAGUCUGUCAAGAAGAGCGGAGCUCGCUCAUUUUCUGCUUGGGAACAGGGAUCGUGGAGGUAAUGUCACCUCGGGGAGGAGAACUUCUGAACGUGAAGCGAUAGACGUAAUGGGAGCGAGGAAUGUGGAAAAGACCACUCUGUAGAGAAUCACAGGCACUAAAUAGUGGCGCUUCUUCUUAAGGUAAUGCUAAAUUUUUGGAGUUUAAAUGUAUUUGUAAAAAUAAUGAUUAAAAGGGGAAUAAAUGUAGUAGUGGCAAAUAUUUGACCAAUGAGGCCGUAACUAUUUUCUAUACAUCGUAGUAAAAGUACAUUGUAGAAUUGGACUGUAAAUACUGACGUAGCUGAACGUGCUUGGAGUCAGUAAUGGACCAAAUGAAACAAUAAAAAUAAAAUGAAAAAAAGACAGGUAAUUAGGUCUCCCCGUGAGAAUCACAGUACUAAUGGCGAUCGCAAAGGCAACUGCAGAGCGAAGUGUGCGCGUUUAGUGCCCGUAGGUAAACUUAGCUGUUAUAAGUAAGUGAAAGCGUCCGUUAGAAUUAGGCAUCCGAGGGAGAGUUGUAGAUACCUAGAGGUAAAUGUAGCUGCAGAUGGGUUAAUAGAAAGGGUGCGCAUUACUGGCUCUAGUAAUUGCACGGCUUUGAAAUUGGCUCUGUAGCUGCGUAACUGUGAAACGGGCUCGGUAACUGUGUAGCUUUGAAAUUUGCUCGGGUUCUGUGCGUCGCCGAAAUUUGCUCGGGUUCUGUGCAUCGCCGAAAUGGGCUCGGUCAAUGUGUAACUUUUCUCAAAGGGGCUGAGGCGCUGUGUAACUCUGAAAUGGGCUUGGUCACUGGAUAAUAUGUGUAUAACAUCUGGGGUUUUUUCAUUCUGUAUCUCACUGUCCCAGUUCUCCUUCCUGCUGUUCUCUUUCUCUGACCCUUUGUGGUGCUCCCUACUCUUUUUAUUCAUGUCUUCUGUCUCCCUGCAGGGUUCCUAAUACGACUCUUUCUCCAACCUCCUGUGCUUCUCAGUCUCUCUCUCUCUCGUCAUUAUUCUCGUCUGUCACUCUGUCUUACUUUCUGUCCCAUUGUAUCAUGUUGUAUCUGUCCCUCCUGCUUUUUUCUCCAUCUGUCCAGAUCCCUGUCCCUUUUUUCUUCUAUUGCUGUCCCUCUGCCCUGCUUCCUCUUGCUAUCUUUUCUUUCUCUCUCUGUCCCAUUCUCUCUUCCAUCCUUUCUAACUGUAUCCCCCUGUCCAGCUAGCUGCCCC